rnacentral:sRNA from 1 species
CCCCCCCAACUUGUCCCUGAUAAUCCCUCCCUUACAAUACAAGUAACUUUGAUGCCAAUCCCUCACCUUGCGGGACCAAAUUGCACGAAAUCUGCACCUUGCGUACUUCAUGUUUAUAAUUGAUUUUGUCUUUUGUUUCAAUUUUCUGGCCAGCUUGUUCUCCUGGUUUGUGACUCCUCUAACAACCGUGGUUUAACAAUUCCAAUGUUAAGCAAGAGAGGCCAGAGCCGACACAGGAUAGUGAAAAAGUGUGUGAUACCGAGAGAGCAUGCGAAAGGAGACCAGUCAGUAUAUGAAUGCAAAUGAGGAUGGGGGCCAAAGCAAUCCUCUCUGGGAUGUGAUUUGUUUUUCCCAUUUCGACGCUCAUGAGGUUGACGAUGAUGACGAAACGCAUUUCUUAAGGAAGAUACAUGAUCACGAUCAUGAUUUUUAGUUUAUUUAGACAAUGGAGUUUCCUUGAGUCCUUGAUGAUUACCCCCGUAAAGCUUUAAUUCCGCCUCUUACCACCAAAAGGGCCACAGUUGAAGAUGCCACUUCUUUGGAGCCACCC